UAUUAAAAAUAUCAUCAAUUUGUACUAUUAAAAACUGGUGUGGUUAACAAAAUAAUUAAAUAGUGACACACAUGUAUACAUCAUGCUGAUGUACAUGAAUCGAUUUUAAACAGUAAAAAUUGAUGAAAAUUUUAACA
rfam:Gossypium arboreum cultivar AKA8401 contig_10056_3, whole genome shotgun sequence.